UACGUAGGGGGCAAGCGUUGUCCGGAAUCAUUGGGCGUAAAGCGCGUGUAGGCGGCCAGGUAAGUCCGUUCUGAAAGCCCGGGGCUCAACCCCGGGAGGCGGAUGGAUACUGCUUGGCUCGAGUCCGGAAGAGGCGAGUGGAAUUCCCGGUGUAGCGGUGAAAUGCGCAGAUAUCGGGAGGAACACCAAUGGCGAAGGCAGCUCGCUGGGACGGUACUGACGCUGAGGAGCGAAAGCGUGGGGAGCAAACAGG
rnacentral:rRNA from 1 species